GCCUCUUUCAGACUCGCAGCAGCAGGGGUCUUCCUUUGCGUUUGUCAUUUCUGCUGAUGCCGGAUUUACACUUGGAGUAUAUUUGACGAACGUCCCAACCUACAGCCUGAACAUGGUGGAGGAUGUCCACAGUGGAUACUCAACGGGCGUGGUGGGGCCUGGGGCGUUCGGAGGCGGCGGAGGAUAGGAAAUAACCCAAUGUUACACAGCCCUCGCGUAUGGUGUCUGUGAAUGAAUGCGUGAUCACUGGCCGUUGGGUGAAACGAACGAAUGAAUGAAUCAAAUCUAAAUAGGCUGUGAAUGGUUUUGAUGGCUCAUAAGCGCUCGUGGCAAAAUGCAUGCAAUGGGAGUCCUGUG